rnacentral:rRNA from 1 species
GACGAACGCUGGCGGCAUGCCUAACACAUGCAAGUCGAACGAGACCUUCGGGUCUAGUGGCGCACGGGUGCGUAACGCGUGGGAACCUGCCCUUAGGUUCGGAAUAACUCCCCGAAAGGGGUGCUAAUACCGGAUAAUGUCUUCGGACCAAAGAUUUAUCGCCUUUGGAUGGGCCCGCGUUGGAUUAGCUAGUUGGUAGGGUAAAAGCCUACCAAGGCGACGAUCCAUAGCUGGUCUGAGAGGAUGAUCAGCCACACUGGGACUGAGACACGGCCCAGACUCCUACGGGAGGCAGCAGUGGGGAAUAUUGGACAAUGGGCGAAAGCCUGAUUCAGCAAUGCCGCGUGAGUGAUGAAGGCCUUAGGGUUGUAAAGCUCUUUUACCCGGGAUGAUAAUGACAGUACCGGGAGAAUAAGCUCCGGCUAACUCCGUG